rnacentral:rRNA from 1 species
CUGGCUCAGAUUGAACGCUGGCGGCAGGCCUAACACAUGCAAGUCGAACGGUAGCACAGAGAGCUUGCUCUCGGGUGACGAGUGGCGGACGGGUGAGUAAUGUCUGGGAAACUGCCUGAUGGAGGGGGAUAACUACUGGAAACGGUAGCUAAUACCGCAUAACGUCGCAAGACCAAAGAGGGGGACCUUCGGGCCUCUUGCCAUCAGAUGUGCCCAGAUGGGAUUAGCUAGUAGGUGGGGUAACGGCUCACCUAGGCGACGAUCCCUAGCUGGUCUGAGAGGAUGACCAGCCACACUGGAACUGAGACACGGUCCAGACUCCUACGGGAGGCAGCAGUGGGGAAUAUUGCACAAUGGGCGCAAGCCUGAUGCAGCCAUGCCGCGUGUAUGAAGAAGGCCUUCGGGUUGUAAAGUACUUUCAGCGGGGAGGAAGGUGUUGUGGUUAAUAACCGCAGCAAUUGACGUUACCCGCAGAAGAAGCACCGGCUAACUCCGUGCCAGCAGCCGCGGUAAUACGGAGGGUGCAAGCGUUAAUCGGAAUUACUGGGCGUAAAGCGCACGCAGGCGGUCUGUCAAGUCGGAUGUGAAAUCCCCGGGCUCAACCUGGGAACUGCAUUCGAAACUGGCAGGCUAGAGUCUUGUAGAGGGGGGUAGAAUUCCAGGUGUAGCGGUGAAAUGCGUAGAGAUCUGGAGGAAUACCGGUGGCGAAGGCGGCCCCCUGACAAAGAC